GGAGUCCAUUUUAACAAUCAUUGUUACAUUACAGUAUGGUCCUGGUUCUUCGCUAAUUUUAUCACCACAGGAGACCAAGUAUACGAGGAUAAAGGGUGCCACGUUACCGGACAUCACCUGUACAGCGGACUGUAGACCUGGCUGUACCUUUGUCUGGACACGACCGGAUAACACCAACUUCACUGUCUCACCUGUGUUGUCACUGGGACAACUGGACAGAUCAGAACACGGGACAUACAGAUGUACUGCUAGGAAUGUUGGCGGGCAGUCGACUAAAGUGAUCAAUGUUAUUGUGAAAUAUGAACCACAUCCGUAUCAAAUGCUCGACCAAAACCAGACGUUUUAUCUUUCCCUGUCAGACACCAUUAUUUGUCUUCUAC